rnacentral:rRNA from 1 species
GACGAACGCUGGCGGCGUGCUUAACACAUGCAAGUCGAACGAAGCGGCGAACGGGUGAGUAACGCGUAAUCAACCUGCUCUUCAGAGGGGGACCACAGUUGGAAACGACUGCUAAUACCGCAUACUGAAUGACGGGAUUGCGUCUGAUUCGCUAGUUGGAGGGGUAACGGCCCACCAAGGCGAUGAUCAGUAGCAGGUCUGAGAGGAUGAACGGGCAAAUUGGGACUGAGACAAGGCCCAGACUGCUACGGGAGGGAGCAGUGGGGGAUCUUCCGAAAUGGACGAAAGUCUGACGGAGCAACGCCGCGUGAGUGAUGACGGCCUUCGGGUUGUAAAGCUCUGUUAAGCGGGACGCGGUACCGGAAUAGAAAGCCACGGCUAACUACGUGCCAGCAGCCGCGGUAAUAC